GACGAACGCUGGCGGCGUGCUUAACACAUGCAAGUCGAACGGAAAGGCCCUGCUUUUGUGGGGUGCUCGAGUGGCGAACGGGUGAGUAACACGUGAGUAACCUGCCCUUGACUUUGGGAUAACUUCAGGAAACUGGGGCUAAUACCGGAUAGGAGCUCCUGCUGCAUGGUGGGGGUUGGAAAGUUUCGGCGGUUGGGGAUGGACUCGCGGCUUAUCAGCUUGUUGGUGGGGUAGUGGCUUACCAAGGCUUUGACGGGUAGCCGGCCUGAGAGGGUGACCGGGCAAAAUGGGAAUGGGGAAAGGGCCAAAACCCUACGGGAGGCAGCAGUGGGGAAUAUUGCACAAUGGGCGGAAGCCUGAUGCAGCAACGCCGCGUGCGGGAUGACGGCCUUCGGGUUGUAAACCGCUUUCGCCUGUGACGAAGCGUGAGUGACGGUAAUGGGUAAAGAAGCACCGGCUAACUACGUG
rnacentral:rRNA from 1 species